CAUAGGUUAAUGAGGCGAACCGGGGGAACUGAAACAUCUAAGUACCCCGAGGAAAAGAAAUCAACCGAGAUUCCCCCAGUAGCGGCGAGCGAACGGGGAGGAGCCCAGAGCCUGAAUCAGUGUGUGUGUUAGUGGAAGCGUCUGGAAAGGCGUGCGAUACAGGGUGACAGCCCCGUACACAAAAAUGCACAUAUUGUGAGCUCGAUGAGUAGGGCGGGACACGUGGUAUCCUGUCUGAAUAUGGGGGGACCAUCCUCCAAGGCUAAAUACUCCUGACUGACCGAUAGUGAACCAGUACCGUGAGGGAAAGGCGAAAAGAACCCCGGCGAGGGGAGUGAAAAAGAACCUGAAACCGUGUACGUACAAGCAGUGGGAGCCUCUUAAUGGGGUGACUGCGUACCUUUUGUAUAAUGGGUCAGCGACUUAUAUUCUGUAGCAAGGUUAACCGAAUAGGGGAGCCGAAGGGAAACCGAGUCUUAACUGGGCGUUAAGUUGCAGGGUAUAGACCCGAAACCCGGUGAUCUAGCCAUGGGCAGGUUGAAGGUUGGGUAACACUAACUGGAGGACCGAACCGACUAAUGUUGAAAAAUUAGCGGAUGACUUGUGGCUGGGGGUGAAAGGCCAAUCAAACCGGGAGAUAGCUGGUUCUCCCCGAAAGCUAUUUAGGUAGCGCCUCGUGAAUUCAUCUCCGGGGGUAGAGCACUGUUUCGGCAAGGGGGUCAUCCCGACUUACCAACCCGAUGCAAACUGCGAAUACCGGAGAAUGUUAUCACGGGAGACACACGGCGGGUGCUAACGUCCGUCGUGAAGAGGGAAACAACCCAGACCGCCAGCUAAGGUCCCAAAGUCAUGGUUAAGUGGGAAACGAUGUGGGAAGGCCCAGACAGCCAGGAUGUUGGCUUAGAAGCAGCCAUCAUUUAAAGAAAGCGUAAUAGCUCACUGGUCGAGUCGGCCUGCGCGGAAGAUGUAACGGGGCUAAACCAUGCACCGAAGCUGCGGCAGCGACACUAUGUGUUGUUGGGUAGGGGAGCGUUCUGUAAGCCUGUGAAGGUGGCCUGUGAGGGUUGCUGGAGGUAUCAGAAGUGCGAAUGCUGACAUAAGUAACGAUAAAGCGGGUGAAAAGCCCGCUCGCCGGAAGACCAAGGGUUCCUGUCCAACGUUAAUCGGGGCAGGGUGAGUCGACCCCUAAGGCGAGGCCGAAAGGCGUAGUCGAUGGGAAACAGGUUAAUAUUCCUGUACUUGGUGUUACUGCGAAGGGGGGACGGAGAAGGCUAUGUUGGCCGGGCGACGGUUGUCCCGGUUUAAGCGUGUAGGCUGGU
rnacentral:rRNA from 1 species